rnacentral:rRNA from 1 species
AGAGUUUGAUCCUGGCUCAGAUUGAACGCUGGCGGCAUGCCUUACACAUGCAAGUCGAACGGUAACGCGGGGCAACCUGGCGACGAGUGGCGAACGGGUGAGUAACGCAUCGGAACGUGCCCAGUAGUGGGGGAUAGCCCGGCGAAAGCCGGAUUAAUACCGCAUACGACCUACGGGUGAAAGCGGGGGACCGUAAGGCCUCGCGCUAUUGGAGCGGCCGAUGUCAGAUUAGGUAGUUGGUGGGGUAAAAGCCUACCAAGCCGACGAUCUGUAGCUGGUCUGAGAGGACGACCAGCCACACUGGGACUGAGACACGGCCCAGACUCCUACGGGAGGCAGCAGUGGGGAAUUUUGGACAAUGGGCGCAAGCCUGAUCCAGCCAUGCCGCGUGCGGGAUGAAGGCCUUCGGGUUGUAAACCGCUUUUGUCAGGGAAGAAACGCUCCGGGCCAAUACCCUGGGGUAAUGACGGUACCUGAAGAAUAAGCACCGGCUAACUACGUGCCGGCAGCCGCGGUAAUACGUAGGGUGCAAGCGUUAAUCGGAAUUACUGGGCGUAAAGCGUGCGCAGGCGGUUNUGUAAGACAGAGGUGAAAUCCCCGGG